rnacentral:rRNA from 1 species
UACGAAGGGGGCUAGCGUUGCUCGGAAUCACUGGGCGUAAAGCGCACGUAGGCGGAUCUUUAAGUCAGGGGUGAAAUCCUGGAGCUCAACUCCAGAACUGCCUUUGAUACUGGGGAUCUCGAGUCCGGGAGAGGUGAGUGGAACUCCGAGUGUAGAGGUGAAAUUCGUAGAUAUUCGGAAGAACACCAGUGGCGAAGGCGGCUACCUGGACCGGUUCUGACGCUGAGGCGCGAAAGCGUGGGUAGCAAACAGG